AUAUGCAUUGAGAUGGAUUGGGAU
rnacentral:miRNA from 1 species